rnacentral:rRNA from 1 species
UACGGGGGGGGCAAGCGUUGUUCGGAAUUACUGGGCGUAAAGGGUUCGUAGGUGGCCAACUAAGUCAUACGUGAAAUCCCUCAGCUUAACUGGGGAACUGCGUCUGAUACUGGUUGGCUUGAGUGCAGGAGAGGAACGCGGAAUUCCAGGUGUAGCGGUGAAAUGCGUAGAUAUCUGGAGGAACACCGGUGGCGAAGGCGGCGUUCUGGCCUGCAACUGACACUGAGGAACGAAAGCCAGGGGAGCAAACGGG